AGACCAACCAUUUAACAUGUUUAUUUAUUUCAGGAAAAAUACAGUUCCAGUUUAUAGAGGACCUUAAUAUGUAGUUUUAUGAUAUUGUAUUUCAUAUUAAGGAUAAGCCUCUAAACUCAUUCAUUACAGUCAGGUGGUCCAAAUUCCAAAUUAUUUUUGUUUUUAUUAGUUUAGCACACCUGCACUUCCAGCUAUGUUUUAUUUUUGUAUUUUGAUACUGGAUUACUAAUUUUAUAUAUUUC